rnacentral:piRNA from 1 species
UGAAAUCUUUGGCGCUACUAGAGCCCUUCCU